CCUACGGGAGGCUGCAGUGAGGAAUAUUGGUCAAUGGACGAGAGUCUGAACCAGCCAAGUAGCGUGAAGGAUGAAUGCCCUAUGGGUUGUAAACUUCUUUUAUAUGGGAAUAAAACGUUGCAUGCGUGCGAUUUUGUAUGUAUUAUAUGAAUAAGGAUCGGCUAAAACCGUGCCAGCAGCCGCGGUAAUACGGAGGAUCCGAGCGUUAUCCGGAUUUAUUGGGUUUAAAGGGCGCGUAGGUGGAUUGUUAAGUCAGUUGUGAAAGUUUGCGGCUCAACCGUAAAAUUGCAGUUGAUACUGGCAGUCUUGAGUACAGUAGAGGUAGGCGGAAUUCGUGGUGUAGCGGUGAAAUGCUUAGAUAUCACGAAGAACUCCGAUUGCGAAGGCAGCCUACUAGACUGCAACUGACACUGAUGCUCGAAAGUGUGGGUAUCAAACAGGAUUAGAUACCCGAGUAGUC
rnacentral:rRNA from 1 species